rnacentral:lncRNA from 1 species
CUCUCACUAGUGUGUGUUUGGUCUUUGGUCUGUUGAGUGUAGAAUUGCUCAAUCUACUCAUUGAUAGCCCCUAUUUUUGGAAAUUUGCGCGAGAGAUUGCAAGCCAAGAAAUUGCGAAAUACAGCAAUACCAUAGCCUAUAGCCUAGAUCUUUUGAUUACCAAUACACAUUUCUGAUUGUCUGCCUGGUGGCCGACAUGCCUACCUAUGCCUGGCUGUGCCCCUCCCAUCUCUCUCUCCCUCGCCCUUUCUUUGCUGUGAAAGAUGCGUGAGUAUGUGUUCUCUAAAUAAACUACGGAAAAUAGUUUAAUCCCUUGCAAAAAUACAGAAUCUUAGAAGUCGAUGAAUCGAUUCCUAGCGAAAUCGGAGUUUGACAACCAGAAAUGGGAGUUGACACCAGGACUCGACAGGCAAAGAGUUGAGGAAUCUAUUAUUUUGAAGUCGACUCCCCAUCACUAUCCAUAUGGCAGUUAAGACAGAGCUCCCGGUAAACUACACAACAACACACAGGAAUCUUCUAACUUGGAUGGACGAGGGAAAAAAGGGAAGGAGUAGAGAAGUUAUCCAGCCUGCUGACUAAGAAAUGGAAAUAGCCUAUGCUUUGCUGUCUAUCUCUCUCUAUCUCUCUCCGUCUGUCUGCCUGCCUGCCUAACUGACAUAUUGCUGAAGGGCAACAUAGUCAAUGUACUUGCUAGGCCAAGCCUAACUUAGUGAAGACCUUGAUUUGUCUCUGUCUUUACAGUUCCUGAAACAUGUCAAUGGCCUGAUGCAUGGCCUCUACAGAGGUGGUUGGCCACCCACUCAGUUACCAGUGACCUAUUCUGCCACAUCCCAGGGAAUUGAGAGCGCAGGACCACCCCUUCUUAAAUCCAUAGUAAUUGACACAGAGGGUUCUACCUGGAACCCAAAACGGUUCAAACUGGAACCAAAAAGGCUUUGCCUAUGAGGACAGCUGAACAACCUUUUGGACCCUUGUUUCUAAGAGUGUAGUGUGCAAAAGCCUUGUGUCCUGAUUCAACA